AGUGAACGCUGGCGGUAGGCCUAACACAUGCAAGUCGAACGGCAGCACCGUAAGAGCUUGCUCUUACGGGUGGCGAGUGGCGGAAGGGUGAGGAAUACAUCGGAAUCUACUUUUUCGUGGGGGCUAACGUAGGGAAACUUACGCUAAUACCGCAUACGACCUACGGGUGAAAGCCGGGGAUCUUCGGACCUUGCGCGAUUGAAAGAGCCGAUGUCGGCUUAGCUAGUUGGCGGGGUAAAGGCCCUACAAGGCCACGAUCCGUAGCUGGUCCGAGAGGAUGAUCAGCUACACUGGAACUGAGACACGUCCCACACUCCUACGGGAGGACGCAGUGGGGAAUAUUGGACAAGGCGGCCAAGCCUGAUCCAGCCAUACCGCGUGGGUGAAGAAGGCGUUAUGGUUGGAAAGUCCUUUUGGUGGGAAAGAAAAGCAGCAGUUUAAUACCCCGCUGUUCUGACGGUACCCAAAGAAUAAGCACCGGCUAACUUCGUG
rnacentral:rRNA from 1 species